GGUGCAAUGGCGAAAUGGGAACGCGGUCGUCUGCAAAACGACUAUGCGCGGGUUCGAUUCCCGCUUGCACCU
rnacentral:tRNA from 1 species